GAUGAACGCUGGCGGUAUGCCUAACACAUGCAAGUCGAACGGGCUCUUUCGGGAGCUAGUGGCGGACGGGUGAGUAACGCGUGAGAAUCUGCCUUCAGGUCGGGGACAACAGAGGGAAACUUCUGCUAAUACCGGAUAUGCUGAAAAGUGAAAGAUUUAUUGCCUGAAGAGGAGCUCGCGUCUGAUUAGCUGGUUGGUAGGGUAAAAGCCUACCAAGGCGACGAUCAGUAGCUGGUCUGAGAGGAUGAGCAGCCACACUGGGACUGAGACACGGCCCAGACUCCUACGGGAGGCAGCAGUGGGGAAUUUUCCGCAAUGGGCGAAAGCCUGACGGAGCAAUACCGCGUGAGGGAGGAAGGCUCUUGGGUUGUAAACCUCUUUUCUCAGGGAAGAAGAACUGACGGUACCUGAGGAAUAAGCAUCGGCUAACUCCGUGCCAGCCGCCGCCGUAAAAC
rnacentral:rRNA from 1 species